rnacentral:rRNA from 1 species
AACGAACGCUGGCGGCAUGCCUAACACAUGCAAGUCGAACGAGACCUUCGGGUCUAGUGGCGCACGGGUGCGUAACGCGUGGGAACCUGCCCUUAGGUUCGGAAUAACUCCCCGAAAGGGGUGCUAAUACCGGAUAAUGUCUUCGGACCAAAGAUUUAUCGCCUUUGGAUGGGCCCGCGUUGGAUUAGCUAGUUGGUAGGGUAAAAGCCUACCAAGGCGACGAUCCAUAGCUGGUCUGAGAGGAUGAUCAGCCACACUGGGACUGAGACACGGCCCAGACUCCUACGGGAGGCAGCAGUGGGGAGUAUUGGACGAUGGGCGCAAGCCUGAUCCAGCAAUGCCGCGUGAGUGAUGAAGGCCUUAGGGUUGUAAAGCUCUUUUACCCGGGAUGAUAAUGACAGUACCGGGAGAAUAAGCACCGGCUAACUCCGUG